rnacentral:lncRNA from 1 species
UCCACACCAGACCGACCAUUAAGUGAUAAAUAAAAUGGUUUUGGGUAAGUUAAUUACCCAUGGGUCUUAUCAGACCCAUAGACCCAAUAAUAUCCAUUACCAAACUUAAAAAAGACCAAAAAAGCCCAUGGUCUCAAACUCUCAAAUCUCAAUUUGAAAAUUGGAUCUGCACGCAGCGUCGCAGCCGCUUCACGCUCACCUCAAUUCCUCCGCCGCCGCUGCUCGCCUCCGCCGCCGAUUGGUGUCGCCUCGCUGCUGAUUGUUGUC